AGAGUUUGAUCAUGGCUCAGAUUGAACGCUGGCGGAAUGCUUUACACAUGCAAGUCGAACGGCAGCACGGGGGCAACCCUGGUGGCGAGUGGCGAACGGGUGAGUAAUACAUCGGAACGUGCCCAGUCGUGGGGGAUAACGUAGCGAAAGCUACGCUAAUACCGCAUACGAACUCUGGUUGAAAGCGGGGGGAUCGCAAGACCUCGCGCGAUUGGAGCGGCCGAUGGCAGAUUAGGUAGUUGGUGGGGUAAAGGCCUACCAAGCCGACGAUCUGUAGCUGGUCUGAGAGGACGACCAGCCACACUGGGACUGAGACACGGCCCAGACUCCUACGGGAGGCAGCAGUGGGGAAUUUUGGACAAUGGGCGCAAGCCUGAUCCAGCCAUUCCGCGUGCAGGAUGAAGGCCCUCGGGUUGUAAACUGCUUUUGUACGGAACGAAACGCGCUGAGUUAAUACCUCGGCGUAAUGACGGUACCGUAAGGAUAAGCACCGGCUAACUACGUGCCAGCAGCCGCGGUAAUACGUAGGGUGCAAGCGUUAAUCGGAAUUACUGGGCGUAAAGCGUGCGCAGGCGGUGAUGUAAGACAGGUGUGAAAUCCCCGGGCUUAACCUGGGAACUGCAUUUGUGACUGCAUCGCUGGAGUGCGGCAGAGGGGGAUGGAAUUCCGCGUGUAGCAGUGAAAUGCGUAGAUAUGCGGAGGAACACCGAUGGCGAAGGCAAUCCCCUGGGCCUGCACUGACGCUCAUGCACGAAAGCGUGGGGAGCAAACAGGAUUAGAUACCCUAGUAGUCC
rnacentral:rRNA from 1 species